GUGUCAGCAGCCGCGGUAAUACGUAGGGGGCGAGCGUUGUCCGGAUUUACUGGGCGUAAAGAGCGCGUAGGCGGCCUGUUAAGUUGGCUGUGAAAGGUCCCGGCUCAACCGGGAUAAGUCGGCCGAAACUGGCGGGCUUGAGGGCGGUAGAGGAAGGUGGAAUUCCGGGUGUAGUGGUGAAAUGCGUAGAUAUCCGGAGGAACACCGGUGGCGAAGGCGGCCUUCUGGGCCGUACCUGACGCUGAGGCGCGAAAGCGUGGGGAGCGAACUGAAUUAGAUACUCAGGUAGUCCACGCCCUAAACUAUGGACGCUAGGUGUCGGGGGUAUCGACCCCUCCGGUGCCGAAGCUAACGCAUUAAGCGUCCCGCCUGGGGAGUACGGCCGCAAGGCUAAA
rnacentral:rRNA from 1 species